rnacentral:lncRNA from 1 species
GAAAAAAAAGAAAACAAUAUUCACAAUAAUAUACUUGUAAAUGAUGAACCAUUAUAUAAUUUUUAUUUAAUGCUGAAGAAGUAACUGUACUGAUAAUUUGCAUGUUGAGCACUAGAUCUAUUGAAAUAAAAUUAAUGACAACCCAGUAGUAAAAGCAAAUCUUUACUCUCUAAUUUGAGAAGAUAUAAAUUAAACUUGGGACCAGGAUGAUCUUGAACUUCAUUUAGUAUGUGUUUCUUUUCAUUUGGUACACCUACUUAUACCAGACUUCACACGGGAACAAUUUGCUGUUCACACUUGGACAUGAGACUCCUUUAGCUUGCUAAAUAUUCCUAAGGAUGCUGUGGAUUGUGGGUUGGAAGAGAAGGCUGAGCAGCCUACCUUCUCCUCAGGUGGCAUGGAAAAAUACUGCUGAAAGCGAGCAGGCACAGGCACAGGAGGGAAGAAGCUGUGGCUGGUCCGGCAGUGAAAGGUUCAGAGCUAAAACAUACUUGAGUAUCUGCAAGAAGUGAAUGCAGGCCUUUUACAAAGGGACAUCCGCUUUGUCUCUUGACAUGAGCACCCACUCUCAACUGGUCUUAUCACCUCAAAAUUAUAUUUAAGCAGACGAUUACAAUGCAAGUUCAUGUUACAAGAUAGCACAGGUGAUAUUACAGAUAACAGCAGCUGUCUGACUAGGUGAAGCUCCAGAGACACCAACUGUGUGUUCACCGGACACUGUAACAAUACCCCCAGUGCCUCACUGCCCCUCCCACAUUAUUGCACUUAUUCCCUGGGAACACUCUACUGGGCCACAGGAAAAUGCACUAUAGGAUUAGAAGUGAUACACUGGUUGCUGAACACGAGUAAUUCAACCAUUCCACUCCCUUGCACUGCUACCAAGUACAUCAGAGUCGCUUGUGCUCCUCCAAGUCCGUCUCCAUCCUCUAACAACAGCACAGCCCACUGUCUUCCUGCUGUCAGCCUGGGGAAGGACAACGUGUACAGAUGGGCCUGUUGCUUUGAAGCGAAAACCAGAAAUCAGAGACACUCUGUCAGCUUCUGCUUUGUUGGAUAUAAACUUGCUUUGCUAUAAACACUGGAGAAAUAUUGGAACAUAAAAAGCUUUGAAAUAGGAUUAAAAAAGAAAUCUGUGCUUUAUCUUCUGUUUGAAAAAGGAAAAAAAAUAGUGUGAAGGACAGAGGGUAAGUCAUACAAAAAAAGAAAGAAACUGAAAUGAAAAAAAAAAGUGAAAACCCCAGAAAAUUAGUCAAAUGGAACAGGAAAGAGGCAGGCAAAAAUUGCCAAUUAACAUUCACAUCAAAGGAAAAUUCUCAUCAAAACCUUUUUCUUCUUGUAAGAAGCAUCAUGCAUUUCCAGUAUGUACUGCAGUGAAGUGAGCACACUUUACACAAAAGAAGGCCCAAGAGAAUAAGCCAAAUAGCCUCAAAGCUUGUGAAAACCAUUUUACACAGCUGACAACUAGGACAAAACCCCAUAGGAGCCCUGAGUGUCAGCAUCACUGCCCUUGUUCACCAGUCAGCUUCCAGCCUGUGCCCGCUCCAGGGGAUCUGAAGCACAGACCCUACACGUGUUUCUGUAGAUUCAUUUACCCCAUGCAGAGCCUCAGGCUGCCCAGGACGAACAACACUAAGUCCCACUGCCCCACAGAAACCCCAUAAAGGCUCAAGUACUCAGCUGGACUGAGGCCAUCUAAACUUGGAAUGGGCAGGAACCUCGCAG